AUGAAAAUUUUGUCUAACCCAUUUGCCUCCUCUGCCCCUCUCUUUCAGACUCCACUAUCUUUCCUUCUCUCACUCUCUCUCACACUAUGUCUCUAAUCCAUUCAGCCGCUGGAUCACCACGAUCUGUACGAUUCUUGAUGCUCCUUCUCCCUCACGCGAUUUUUGCUGCUCAGUCUCCCCCUUCUCCCUCAUGCAAGUCUUGCUGCUCCUUCUCCUUCACGGCAUUUCUCCUGCUGGAAGCAAAAACCCAGGCAAGAGCACUCUAACCUCGUUUGUCUAUGUGAGCGAUAUACUCGUUCUUGACCGAUUCAUUGAGUGGCGACGAAAUCGUCCGCAAGCCAGCAGAGGAGGCUCUCUCUCAGUGCGAGGCUAGGCCCAGCUUUUGCUCUUGUCUCAUGUGUGGUAUUGCUGCCAACGGUCAAAAACCAAAAACCCUAACUUGGUGUUGGUGAUUGCGUUUUGAGCCACGAACGAGGGGAGGUACUAUACAGUGGAUUGCGGAAACCCUAUUAUUUAGGGGAACCGAAGCUUUUCGAAUUGAAGUUUUACGCAAUGGGAGCUGUUAAGUUGGAACUUCGUUGUCCCCAAACUGUUGAGGGAAUUGCUGCCGACCCUGAACCUGAUUGGAGCUUCAAUGCUCUUUUAACAGAGCUUAAUGCAUUGGAAACAAAACUUAGUAGCUCUUCCAAAGUCCCUUUUAACAGAGCUUAAUGCAUUGGAAACAAAAACAGAGAAUAUGUCUCUUUUCUCACAUACACUAUACAUGUAUAGAUAUGAUAUGAGAUAUGGUUCUUCAUAUCAAGGGACUAGAAAUGUUGUGCAUGCAUUGUUACUAAAAUACACUUUUUGACGGAAGUGUGUAGAAUUUUAUUCUGUUGAGUAUAUAGAAAUCAUGUGGGGAGUUCUUAUAUUGUUCACUAGUCAUUUCAUUAAAUGGUUUAUGUAUAAAACUGCAUCCUAAGAAGCAACUAGAAUGAGGGGUAAAGUGGUAAAAUAAUAGAAUAUAGGUAAUAGAGGGGUAUGUGGGUAACUGUAGUAUGUAGGGCAAAAUAGAAAUAUUGUAUUACACUUGUUUCAAAAAGUUCUCACCCCUUUUCUGGAUUUCUGGAGAAAGAAAAAUUGCAGGUCUCACUUUUCUUGCUCUUUCACUCUUUUCUCUCCAACCAAACUGCCCAUUUUACUCUUUAUGUCUGCUUUUCCCUUUACUUCCUCUUUACCAACUGUUGGAUAAAAAAAUAUAUCCCAUAAACUAGUACAUACGUUUUUUUAGCAAUUUACAUAUGCAGUGUAAUCCUUGGCACUUAAUUUCCUAUUCUUUCUAAAAUGAGAAAACUUGCUUUGUUUUUACUGUGAUGUUUCUACCUUGGCUAACCCCUAUCUGGG